AUUGAACGCUGGCGGUAUGCUUAACACAUGCAAGUCGAGCGGUAACAGGCCCUUCGGGUGCUGACGAGUGGCGGACGGGUGAGUAAUGCUUAGGAAUCUGCCUAGUAGUGGGGGAUAACCCGGGGAAACUCGGGCUAAUACCGCAUACGCCCUACGGGGAAAGGCGGGGACGUUUCGGGCCUCGCGCUAUUAGAUGAGCCUAAGU
rnacentral:rRNA from 1 species